rnacentral:rRNA from 1 species
UGGGGAAUAUUGGACAAUGGGCGAAAGCCUGAUCCAGCCAUGCCGCGUGUGUGAAGAAGGUCUUCGGAUUGUAAAGCACUUUAAGUUGGGAGGAAGGGCUGCAAGUUAAUACCUUGUAGUUUUGACGUUACCAACAGAAUAAGCACCGGCUAACUUCGUGCCAGCAGCCGCGGUAAUACGAAGGGUGCAAGCGUUAAUCGGAAUUACUGGGCGUAAAGCGCGCGUAGGUGGUUUGGUAAGAUGGAUGUGGAAUCCCCGGGCUCAACCUGGGAACUGCAUCCAUAACUGCCUGACUAGAGUACGGUAGAGGGUGGUGGAAUUUCCUGUGUAGCGGUGAAAUGCGUAGAUAUAGGAAGGAACACCAGUGGCGAAGGCGACCACCUGGACUGAUACUGACACUGAGGUGCGAAAGCGUGGGGAGCAAACA